UUUCGCGAUACAUUGUAAACGUAAAAUGUCAUUGUAAAUGUAAAAAAAUAUAUUGUAAAAUAUUUUGUGAUAUUAAAACGGAGUGGGAUGAUAAAGAUAACCGAAUCGCUGUGAUUGGGUUAUACAAACAAGAGUUAGCGCUGGGUCAUAAAGCUCGAUCCACCCAAUCUUGGUUAGAAACCAAUGUUCCAGACCUCAUCAGAGCUGAAGAUUGGCCAUCAUCUAGUCCCGAUCUUAAUUUAUGGUCAGUUUUAGAGAGUAUGGCUUGCUCUAAAUGUCAUGAUAAUUUGGAGUCCUUAAAACAAUCCAUUCGAUUGGCAGUGAAGAAUUUUCCCAUGGAAAGAGCGCGUGCUUCUAUUGAUAACUGGCCUCAACGAUAAAAGGACUGUAUUGCAGCCAAUGGAGACGACUUCGAAUAAUCUUUAUAUAUUUUUAAUUUAACUAACACAGUGUAAUAGUAAUAAAUGUUACGUACAAUAUAAAAAAUGUUUUUUCUUUGUAACACAUAAUAAUAUUCAGGGCAAGACUAUGUGAUAGGAAUGAGAAAAAUAAAUGAAAUAGAGGAUUAUA